rnacentral:rRNA from 1 species
UACGAAGGGUGCAAGCGUUACUCGGAAUUAUUGGGCGUAAAGGGCUCGUAGGCGGUCUGUCGCGUCGGGAGUGAAAACUCAGGGCUUAACCCUGAGCCUGCUUCCGAUACGGGCAGACUAGAGGUAUGCAGGGGAGAACGGAAUUCCUGGUGUAGCGGUGAAAUGCGCAGAUAUCAGGAGGAACACCGGUGGCGAAGGCGGUUCUCUGGGCAUUACCUGACGCUGAGGAGCGAAAGUGUGGGGAGCGAACAGG